UUCGGCAUGAUCCUGGUCUAGCAGAUGGAUAUGUCAGAUAUGCUUCCAUGGGUUUAUGGAGAUGCUUAUGGAGACGCUUAGCGGUAAUGUAAUGACCUGAGUGUGUGUGUGUGUGUGUGUGUGUGUGUGAGUGUGUGUGUGCGUGUGUGUGUGUGCAUGUGUGUGUGUCAAUUACCUCUUUGGUCAGUCAGAGGGGAAACUCUUAGCUGGAUCAAAAACAGCAGGAUGGGCUUCUAACUUCACAGUAGUCUGUCGUAAAUGAAAAAAAUAGUCUUCAUUUGGCGAGAGGACUUGGCGGCCAUUUUGAAUCUGACUUUGUUAUCUGAGGAGGUUUUGGAAAAGCAGCUUCAAAGUUUUAAGAUUGCAGUGUUGUGGGCAUGCGUCCCAAUACUUUUGUCCGUAUAGUGUAAAAAACAAACCAAAAAAAAGGACAGUGGGAAGUUCUUUCAAACGCACUCAACCCUUGACUUUUAACAUGCAAUUUUCCUCCGCCGUCAUCUAUUUUCUAACCGAGAUGGUUUAUGGAAACUUUCCGCUGUUUUAGUGUGUCACGUGACGUGCACUUGAGUUUUCCGACUGGGUCAUGUGACACAUGGUGCCUAAAUCCACAGAGAGCAGACCGCGUGAUUCUCAUCCGUAGCCCAGUUUAACGGCUAGCCUACUUUUCGGCUAGCCCAGUUUCAGAAUCACCCAGAGGAGUCCAAAUAAGUCAUGGCAAGUGUGAGCUCACGCCAGAGACCUCGCCUCUAAAAAAACUGAACCGGAGUCAAGGAUUUACAACCUAUCUAUCUGGCAAGUUUAUCCUCGGUGACACGUGUCUCACUUGGAUGGCACGAUGAAAAUGUCAGAGCCUUGGUCUUCAAGGUCUGCCUGGCCAAGAUUGGCGAUUGGCUCAGGGCCUGAAUCUUCUGUUUUACUUCCCCGUGUCAAACGGUCGAGUGUCAAACACAAACGGUAGGGUGCGAGCGACAAUACAUUCUCCAGAGCGCUAGCAUCUUGCUAAAAAAGGCAAAAAGAAUCGAAGGGGAGUACAGCACACGUCUGCAAAUCAUCAUGAAGCUUGUUAUCUUGAUAUUCACGUUGCAGCGAGACGGAAAACAGCCAGUUCCAGACCUUGUUUUGUAAGGUCACAACCUUGCGACGCUCCCGUCCGGCGCGAGCCUGGAGCGUCAUUCGGUGGCUUUGUACCGGCGACAUCCAUUAUGGAUGAGGUCCACUAAUAAUGGAUGAGACCGUGAGCACACGGGAGGCCUGCAGGGGUCUGUCCUAAGCUGACCCGGGCACAACGAUAACAUCAUUCCUCCGGAGAACAGCGUUCCCUCGGCUGCCCAGCCUGCCGUUUCCAAGGCGAUGAGCAGCUCGCCUCUCAGAAGGCUUCACGAGAUGCGUCGGUAAUGGCCGACUUAUUCAAGUAGAACAAUGAAUGGCGAAGCGGGUUAACAUUGUGUGGUAAAUGCUGUACCCGUGCGUGUGUGUGCUUCUGUGAGUGAGCAUCUAAUUGGGCUGCGAGGCGAUCUGAAGAAACAGAAGUCAGGACAUUCAUGGAGCCUUGGGGCUGGACAGAAAAAGAACACACAGCAACACACUGGGCUGAAAAUAUGUACCCAGCUCCCAUUGGACAUUUUUUCUCUCAAUUUCCACUUUAAAAAUGCUAAUUUCUGAAUGUGUGUUUGGAUAUGAGGUACCUGGUCGAGCAAAUAGCGCUCCUUGAGUGUGUUAGCAUCUUUAUGACACGUUUAAUUUGACAGAGAAGAGCUUGUAAGGUCUUAGGGUGGUUAUUGAUUGACGAUUAACUAGCACUCAAGGGGUAAAAAUUGAACAGGGGAUGCAAAUGAUAUACAAGUGGCUUGAUAAAGUUAAUGUGAUUUUGUGAUGGGUGAAUGGUGGAAAUGAGAUUAUGCAAAUAAGAGUCAAGAUAUUUUUCAUCUGAUUUGACUCGUGUUGAUACUCCCUGUAAAUGAAUCAGCGCAAAGACUCUGUACACACGCUAGCUGUUGGGUUAAAUUAAAAAUAAUAAUAAUAAAAGCCUGCC